GACGGAAGGUGCAAGCGUUGCUCGGAAUUACUGGGCGUAAAGGGCGCGUAGGCGGCCCGCUAAGUCGAACGUGAAAUCCCCGAGCUCAACUCGGGAACUGCGUCCGAUACUGGCGGGCUUGAAUCCGGGAGAGGGAUGCGGAAUUCCAGGUGUAGCGGUGAAAUGCGUAGAUAUCUGGAGGAACACCGGUGGCGAAGGCGGCAUCCUGGACCGGCAUUGACGCUGAGGCGCGAAAGCUAGGGGAGCAAACGGG
rnacentral:rRNA from 1 species